rfam:Thalassospira xiamenensis M-5 = DSM 17429, complete genome.
CGGGGGCUGCCCUGUUCGUCAGGUUCGCUAAUUCCCGGGGCCGAUGCUCAUUUCUCUAGGGAGCUGUCCCUGUCGAGGCCGUGGUCUCGUUAUACGGCGCCCACCUGCACACGCAGGUCACGAGGAAUUACCACAUGGCCAACGGCAGCGGUGGCUCCCAC